CGGUAAGGCCCUUUCGGGGGUACACGAGCGGCGAACGGGUGAGUAACACGUGAGUAACCUGCCCUUGACUUUGGGAUAACUUCAGGAAACUGGGGCUAAUACCGGAUAGGGGCUCCUGCUGCAUGGUGGGGUUGGAAAGUUUCGGCGGUUGGGGAUGGACUCGCGGCUUAUCAGCUUGUUGGUGGGGUAGUGGCUUACCAAGGCUUUGACGGGUAGCCGGCCUGAGAGGGUGACCGGCCACAUUGGGACUGAGAUACGGCCCAG
rnacentral:rRNA from 1 species